GACGAACGCUGGCGGCGUGCUUAACACAUGCAAGUCGAGCGGUAAGGCCCUUUCGGGGGUACACGAGCGGCGAACGGGUGAGUAACACGUGGGUGACCUGCCCUCAGCUCUGGGAUAAGCCCGGGAAACUGGGUCUAAUACCGGAUAUGACUUCAUGACGCAUGUUGUGGAGUGGAAAGCCUUGUGCGGCUGAGGAUGGGCCCGCGGCCUAUCAGCUUGUUGGUGGGGUGANGGCCUACCAAGGCGACGACGGGUAGCCGGCCUGAGAGGGCGACCGGCCACACUGGGACUGAGACACGGCCCAGACUCCUACGGGAGGCAGCAGUGGGGAAUCUUGCGCAAUGGGCGAAAGCCUGACGCAGCGACGCCGCGUGAGGGAUGAC
rnacentral:rRNA from 1 species